rnacentral:rRNA from 1 species
UACGUAGGGUGCGAGCGUUGUCCGGAAUUAUUGGGCGUAAAGAGCUCGUAGGCGGUUUGUCGCGUCUGCUGUGAAAACCCCGAGGCUCAACCUCGGGCCUGCAGUGGGUACGGGCAGACUAGAGUGCGGUAGGGGAGAUUGGAAUUCCUGGUGUAGCGGUGGAAUGCGCAGAUAUCAGGAGGAACACCGAUGGCGAAGGCAGAUCUCUGGGCCGUAACUGACGCUGAGGAGCGAAAGCGUGGGGAGCGAACAGG